AUGGCAGAAAUUGGUAAGGGAAUACCUCAAGUUGGUAUGAGGUUCAGAAGUGUAGAUGAGGCUUGGGCAUUUUGGAAUGCAUAUGGGGGUCACACCGGCUUUGAUGUGAGAAGGAGAUACGCAAACAAAAGCAGACUUGAUGGUCAGGUUGGUUCAUGCAGAUUUGUUUGUUCCAACGAAGGUCAUCGAAGAAAAGGGCUAACUGAGACAGCGCCAAAGCGUUUUAGAGCUGAAACAAGAACCAAUUGCCAAGCUCGUAUGUGUUUCCAAUUGGAUCGAGAGGCCGGAAAUUAUGAAGUAACUGAGGUUGUGCUUGAACACAACCACUUGCUUCAAUUGCCACAAACCCGACAC
rnacentral:rRNA from 1 species